GAUGAACGCUGGCGGCGUGCCUAAUACAUGCAAGUCGAGCGAACAGACGAGGAGCUUGCUCCUUUGACGUUAGCGGCGGACGGGUGAGUAACACGUGGAUAACCUACCUAUAAGACUGGGAUAACUUCGGGAAACCGGAGCUAAUACCGGAUAAUAUAUUGAACCGCAUGGUUCAAUAGUGAAAGACGGUUUUGCUGUCACUUAUAGAUGGAUCCGCGCCGCACUAGCUAGUUGGUAAGGUAACGGCUUACCAAGGCGACGAUGCGUAGCCGACCUGAGAGGGUGAUCGGCCACACUAGAACUGAGACACGGUCCAGACUCCUACGGGAGGCAGCAGUAGGGAAUCUUCCGCAAUGGGCGAAAGCCUGACGGAGCAACGCCGCGUGAGUGAUGAAGGUCUUCGGAUCGUAAAACUCUGUUAUUAGGGAAGAACAGAUGUGUAAGUAACUAUGCACGUCUUGACGGUACCUAAUCAGAAAGCCACGGCUAACUACGUG
rnacentral:rRNA from 1 species